rnacentral:lncRNA from 1 species
CGAAGUCGAAUUAAAAAUUAAAAUAAAAAUGGAUAAACAACAGAAAGUAAAUAGAAAAAGUCAAUAUGAUUCUCUGUGUUUUGUUGAUCAAUUAGACGGGGAUGAAUUUUUUAAUACUGUCUUUCAAGAUGACUAAAAUAUAUUGAAAAAUCUAAAUAAUGAUACCCUUGAAAUAUAUGAAGAAUAUAAGAAAAAGUUUACAACAGUAUGUCCAGAAAUUGUACAAAUUUGGAGGAGAUCAACACGUUGUUAGGACGAAAGAAAUUAAUGAAUUUUUUUUAGUUGUUCGAAAAGCUCGAGAAAAUGUUUAAGAUCAUUGAGACAAUAAAAACAGGAAAAAACGGAAUUUUUAAUAAAUUUUAUGAUUUAGUGAAAUUUGAUAAAGAAUUGAAUGAACAAAAAAUAAAAAUAGAUGUAAAAAUAGCGAAAACUUAAGAAUUAGCUGAUGCUUUCAUCGAAAGUUUGACGAAUAUGUGGACAAAGCUGAUGUACAGCGAAGUUGUUUCGCAUGAAUAAAUAGAUGAUAUAUUUGAGAUUUUUAAGAUAAAUAUGAUUGACUUGAAGGAUCCACUUGUAGAAUUUGUACGAGAAAUUUUAUCUCAAAUAUAUGAUAUUGUUCUCCAAUACCGCGAGGCAAUAAGCACUGUGAUUAAUAAUUAUUUAGUGUUGGAGAUUUGACAGUGCCAGGAAAUUAUGUUGACAAUUGUGGCAACGUAGAUGUUGUAAACAAUACUUUGAUCAUUUCACAUGAUAUUCAUAUACAGAUUGUUGAUAACCGCAAUGACAGUAUCAUUGAAAGAAUAAACCUUUGGCUUGAAGAGUUGUUACAUGAAUUCAGCAAACAAGAAUGGCUUCGACAUCGUCAGUGAAUACUCGAAAUUUCUCAUUUUUUGCAGUUUCAGCGAAAACGGAUGCAUAAUGAUUUUUGUAUCAAAGACGCAUUUGCAUUUGAUGUUGCAGCGUCUCUCGAAGGAUAAUUUUAAUAAUAAUUAUUUCAUAAUUUAAAUAUAUUUAUUUAU